rnacentral:rRNA from 1 species
UACGGAGGGUGCAAGCGUUAAUCGGAAUUACUGGGCGUAAAGCGUGCGCAGGCGGUUUGCUAAGAGAGAUGGGAAAUCCCCGGGCUUAACCUGGGAACUGCGUUUCUAACUGGCAGGCUUGAGUGUGGCAGAGGGGGGUGGAAUUCCACGUGUAGCAGUGAAAUGCGUAGAGAUGUGGAGGAACACCGAUGGCGAAGGCAGCCCCCUGGGCUAACACUGACGCUCAUGCACGAAAGCGUGGGGAGCAAACAGG